ACUCCGUACGGGAGGCAGCAGUGGGGAAUAUUGGACAAUGGGCGAAAGCCUGAUCCAGCAAUGCCGCGUGAGUGAUGAAGGCCCUAGGUUGUAAGCUCUUUUACCCGGGAAGAUAAUGACUGUACCGGGAGAAUAAGCCCCGGCUAACUCCGUGCCAGCAGCCGCGGUAAUACGGAGGGGGCUAGCGUUUGUUUCGGAAUUUACUGGGCGUAAAGCGCACGUAGGCGGCUUUUGUAAGUCAGAGGUGAAAGCCUGGAGCUCAACUCCAGAACUGCCUUUGAGACUGCAUCGCUUGAAUCCAGGAGAGGUCAGUGGAAUUCCGAGUGUAGAGGUGAAAUUCGUAGAUAUUCGGAAGAACACCAGUGGCGAAGGCGGCUGACUGGACAGAUACUGACACUCAGAUGCGAAAGCGUGGGGAGCAAACAGGAUUAGAUACCCUGGUAGCACAGAG
rnacentral:rRNA from 1 species